GUGCUCGCUUUGGCAGCACAUAUACUAAAAUUAGACUGAUACAGAGAUUAGUAUAGCCCCUGCACAAGGAUGACAUGCAAAUUUGUGAAGCGUUCUGUAUUAAA
rnacentral:snRNA from 1 species